rnacentral:rRNA from 1 species
AUGAACGCUGGCGGCGUGCCUAAUCCAUGCAAGUCGCGCGAACAGACGAGGAGCUUGCUCCUCUGACGUUAGCGGCGGACGGGUGAGUAACACGUGGAUAACCUACCUAUAAGACUGGGAUAACUUCGGGAAACCGGAGCUAAUACCGGAUAAUAUAUUGAACCGCAUGGUUCAAUAGUGAAAGACGGUUUUGCUGUCACUUAUAGAUGGAUCCGCGCCGCAUUAGCUAGUUGGUAAGGUAACGGCUUACCAAGGCAACGAUGCGUAGCCGACCUGAGAGGGUGAUCGGCCACACUGGAACUGAGACACGGUCCAGACUCCUACGGGAGGCAGCAGUAGGGAAUCUUCCGCAAUGGGCGAAAGCCUGACGGAGCAACGCCGCGUGAGUGAUGAAGGUCUUCGGAUCGUAAAACUCUGUUAUUAGGGAAGAACAAAUGUGUAAGUAACUAUGCACGUCUUGACGGUACCUAAUCAGAAAGCCACGGCUAACUACGU